rnacentral:lncRNA from 1 species
CCCGCGUGGGCGGGGCUUUGCGGGAGGGCAGGUGGCGAGGUUCUCGCCCCGAGAGUGGGAGGCGGGACGCGGCAGGUCAGCAAAGUGCUACUUUAGGUCUUUUUGUAUUCUAACUCCUGUUUCAGGGCCGUGAUGAUGAAGUUCGCCACUUUUCCUUUUCUUAUGCCCUUCAUUCGUGUUUUGGAGAGGGAGCGGGGAGGUGCCCGCAAUUAGUAUUCUCUCUUCUUCCCUGGCUAUUAGCAAGAGCAGUCCACUGGGUAUCGUGGGCACAGAGCAAUUGUACCUUUUGGGAGACAGUAAUGAAGCAGAUUGGAUGCAGUUCCCCGCCCCCGCAACAAAAAAGUGAGCUGGACAAUAGGUCAGAAGAAAUAUCCAAACUGAAACAAAGAGAGACAAGAUGGAAAAGAUACAAUAGAAAAGAAAAUACUAUUCAUGUGACAUGGAGUUAAAAAUGUCUACAAUUGGAGUCUUUGCUGGGGAGGACUGAGAGAAUGGGGUAGAAGCAAUCUGUGAAGACAUAUGAGUGAAAGUUUUCCAAAACUGAUGAAAGAUACCAAACCAUAGAAGCAAGAGGAUAAGCCUUCAAACAGGAAGGAGAGAGAGAACCAGAGAGCACAAGUGAGAACAGCAGAGGGAGCAGGAGAUGCAGGCUUCCCGCUCAGCAGGGAGCCCAAUAUGGGCUGGAUUCCAAGACCCCAGGAUCAUGACCUGAGCUGAAGGCAGACACUUAACUGACUGAGCCACCCAGGCACUGCUGGAUAUGGCUUCUUUUUAAAAUGAUUAUUAUUAAUUGUUUAGGGUUGUCUUUUUAACAUGGUAUUCUGAAAUGUCAUGAUGAUAUACCUUAUUUGGGAUAUUUAAAAAUAAUUAAUUGUGCUGGUACAUUUUUGGGUUCUUUAAUCUGGAAAUGCAAAUUUUUUAGUUUUGGAAAAGUUUGCUUUUAAAAAUAUUUUUAUCCCCAUGACUUUCCUUCUUUCCUCUUUAUGAAACUCAUAGUAGUUAUUUGAGCUCUUGGUUUGAUGCUUUUAAUUCUUAGCUUUUCUCUCAUAUUUUCCUUCUUCUUGACAUUUUGUUUACUUCAAGGCUUCUGUAGAAAUUUUUUUCAACUGUUAUUUUAGUUCUUCCUUCUAAUUGACAUCAUUUUUAUUGAUGAAAAACUUCUAUCUCCCUGAUACAUUAAUUUGAGGUUUGGUUUUAAUUUUGAAAUGUUCUUGCAUUUCAUGCAUUCUCUCUCCUCUGGAUUUCUUUUCUUGGUUUGCUUACUUGGCCUUUUUUUAUAUUCUGGAGACUUUCCACACAUAUUUCCUAAACCUUGAUGACCAUUCCUAUUUAACAACAAGGCCCUCAAAUUUUAGUUGGAAGCUCUGUGACCUCUGGUGCUUGCAGUGAGUACUCCUCACUGUUGUGAAGUUGGUCUGAAUAAUGGCCCAUCACCCAGGCCUCAUUUAUCCAUGCAAGGAGGUCAAUCUCUGCAAUCUUUUAAUAUCUUCAGAAAAAAAUUCUUCACUCUUCUACAUGGGGCCUGAUCAUUGGUUUCUAUUCAUCUGUGUAGGGUGAGGCAGAGGUCUUGGGAUCAGUCUGUUAUUGACAAUGGUUUAAUAAUUACUCUUAUUUUUAAUUGUGUACCUCAUCCUUGCUCUCCUCUGGGCCUCAUAGUCCAAUGAUUUUAUCUUCACUAUUCAAUAUUAUUAGUGACUAAACCUUUAUACCUAUGCCUGUAUAUCCCUGGAGAUAAGGUACCUGACCACUUGUAUUUAGUGUGUGGAAGUGGAAAAGGGAAAUUGAAGUGUUAAACAUAGACUGUCAACCUAUCUUCUGCAUCCCUCCUCAUCCCUGCCCCAUAUCUGUUUUAUUCUCUAUAAUUUUCUGCCUUCCUUUGUAUCAAAUGUUUCUAAAUCCUGUGCUUUACUGAGUUCCUGAAGGGGCUGGUGCUGGGAAAUAGCCUGUUUUUCAUCAACAUCCCCUUCUGCAUGCCGUUAGUCUGGGAUUCUAUCUCCCAAUAUGUUUUUCCUGUCAUAUUAGCUAAAAUUUUUCUGAGAUCUCUAGUUUCUUGAUCUCAGAGCUAAUAAACAUAUGUUCAAUGUGGUAGUCUUGAAGCUGUCAAAUACAAAAUAAUUUAUAUAUAGGGAUACCAUUUAUUGAGCCUUUAUUAUGUGCCAGUCAUUGCACUCAGCACUUUAUAUAUGUUAUUUCAUGUAAUAUUUCUAAUUUCCAUUUUAUAUAUGAGGAAACUGAGGAUCAGAGAGAUAGUAAAGAUUAAUAUAAGAUUCCCAAUACAAAUUUUUAUUCCAAUGAGAAUCAGAGUGUCUUUCAUCCCACGAGGUAUUAGCUAAUGGCAAGACUAUGAGUAUGUAUUUUGAUGAUAAGUUUAUAUAUUAGGCAUUUUAUGUCUAGUUGAAUGACAGGAAAUGUCAUUUACAAUAAAUAUUGCAAAUUUGGAAAAGGAUGGAUAAUUUGUUACUGUGGAUUUUUUCAAAGAGUUAUUGAGGGCAUAUCUGAAAGGUACAUAUCCUAUCCAGUGUGACUUUGUCAUAAAUAGCACAUGCAAGGGUUGUAUUCUAAUCAAGGUUCAUUAGUGAGUGAAAAAUAUGUUGUACUUUAUGACAUGAAGACUAUAAACUACAAGAUACAAACGAAUGGAAGAAAUGUUCUGGUGAGGAAAAGGAUGCACAAAUGUCCUGGGAUCUCACUCCCAGCAAACUCAUUCCUUAUUAUUAUUAUUUUUUAAUAAUAGAAAGAAUCUUGAUCUCACUAAACAGAAAACUUCGAGCUCACAUAGUUAAUGAUAGACAGUGUACAUUUCGAGUCUUCAGCAUUGCUGUAGGCUUACAAAUAUCCAGCUACUUUAGAAAAAGUUUUCUUUAUCAUUCAUAAAAAAUCCAUCAAAACUCUUUCACCAACAAUAAAAGAUUUUUUUUCCUAAGGCAGAAGAAUAAUUAGCCUGAUUUUUGCUUCCUUAGUCCUAUUCUUGCAAUCAAACAAAAUAGAACCAGACUUGAGAUGAAGGCAUGUAUUACCUUCAGGGUCUUUUCUUAGUAGGACGAAAGAGAUUUCUUCCAUUCUAUGUUUAGGAACUACCCUCCAAACACCCUGGAGCUAGAAACACUAGAAUUUUGUACUAUUCUUUUUUGAUUCACUAGUCUCCUGUGUAACAGCUUUUUGGGGGGUGUGGUGGUGGAAGAGUGAGUUUCUGACUUUGUGUGUAACUUUUUAUUUUGAUAUACUUUCAACUUACAGAAAUAUCUCAGGAAUGUAAUGGGAACUAGAAAUAUACAUAACAAUACUGAGAUUCAAUUAUUUUCAUUCUGUCUCAUUUGCUUCCUCUCUAUAUACUUGCAUAUUAUUCUUUUUUUUCUGAAUCAUAUGAGAGUAAAUUGAAGAGAUCACAAGUUUUACACCUAAAUAAUAUAAUUCACAGUGUGUUUCCUAAGAGUAUGUUAUUUCUCUUACCUUUUGACAACAUAGUUAUCAAAAUGAGGACAUUUUCUUAUAUUUUCCCUAUUCCCAUGAGCAUGGAUUGCAUUUAUUUUUUAUGUCUCUUUGGUAUCUUUUAAUUUGGAAGAGAUCAUCAGCCAUACUUAAUAUUUCUGGUCUUAAAUUUUUGAAGGGUUAUAGAUCAGUUAUUUCAUAGAAUAUUCCUCAAUUUGAGUUUAUAUGAUGUUUCAUCAUUAUAAGUUUCAGGUUAUGCAUUUUUGUCUUGAAUUUCACUGAAGUGUUAUUUUAGCCUUGUCAGUGAAUCCUAUCAGGGCACAUGUUUCAAACUACAUUAAAAUUAGUGACAUAGGCUUUGGUCACUUGGUAAAGUGAUGUCUACCAGGCUCCUCCAUGGUAAAGUCAUCAUUUUCCCUUCCUAAUUAAUAGGUAGCUUGUGGAGAGAAUAUGUAUCCUAUUCAUCAAACUUUUAUCUACUAGAUUUGAUGUCCACUCAAGGUUUUUUUUAACUCCAUCAUUCUUUCUUCAUUUACUGGUCUACAUUCUACCAUAAAGAGUGCAUUUCCUUUUUUGGGGGUGUUUAUCUUUUAAUUCUUUUAUGUAUUUAUGUCAGUAUGGAGUCAUGGAUUCUUAUUUACUCACCAGGUUAUAAUCUGUUACUAUCAGUAUUUAUUUUGGUGGUCAAAUUGUCCCAGAUUCGGCCAGUGGGAGUCUUUUUGAGCUGAUUCCUGUGUUCAUUUGACAUGUUCCCUUAUUCUUUACUUUUUUACUUUCUGUCACAACAAGAGGUUCCAGACUUAUCUUGUACUUUGCAUGUCUUAGCACUGGUAUCAUCUAUCUCUCCUAGGAAUCCUGGUUCCAUUUAGUGGAGAAUAAAUUUAGAAACUAAGACCUGGAAAGUAGGCAUGCCACUGCUACUGGUGUCUGUUUCCAUGCCUUCUCAGUGGAUAGAAAACAUACGUGUGUGUGUGUGUGUGUGUGUGUAUGUGUAAGUGAGAAAACUUCCUCCAGUUAUCUUCAAUAUAUUUAUUUGUUUGCUGAAGCCUAGAAUACACAAAGGAGAAUUUCAGAAUUGAUAAGCUGCAAAGAAAACCUACUAGCUUAAUACUUUCUUACUUACUAGCUUAAUACUAAGUUUUCUUUUUGAGGUAAAAUUCACAUAAGUUGAAAUAUAUAAAUCAUAAAGACACAAUUCAAUGAGGUCUGAAAAAACAAUAUACCCACAUAGCUGAAUCUAUAACAAGACAUGGAAUAUAUUCUUUACCAAAAAGUUCUCUAAUUCUUCUUCCUGGCUAAUGAACUCUCCUAAACCCCAAGAAAACCACUCUUCUGAUUUUUUUCACCUUAGAUUGUUUUUGGCCUUUUAAAAAAUUUUGCAUCAAUAUGAUAAUGCUCUCUCUAUAUCUAUAUAUCUGCAUCUAUCUAUAUAUAAUGUAUGUAUAAAUCUUUUUGGCUCUUUUGUUAAGUAAAAUGUUUUUGAAACUUACAUGUUGUUGCAUACAUCAGUGCCUCAUACCUUUUUAUUACUCAGUAGUGUACCAUUGCAUAAAAAACCAGUUUAUCCCUUCUUUUAUCGACGGACAAUUGAGUUGUUCCCAGUGUUAGGCUAUGAAUAAAGCUGCUAUGAACAUUAUGUACAAGUCCUUGUGUGAAUGUAUGUUUUCAUUUCUCCCAGCAAAUACAUAAGAAUGGAAUUGCUGAGUCAUGUGGUAAGGAUGUGUUCAUUGGACAUAAAACUGUCAAACUCUUGUCUGCAGUGGUGCCAUCUUUUUUGCAUUCUCAUCACAGUGUAUGAGAGUUCCAGUUCCUCUAUAUCCUUGUCAACAGUUAAUAUCUUAAGUCUUUUAAAUUUUGGUUAUUCCAGUGAGCAUGUAGUCCCAUCUUAUUGUAAUUUUAACUUGAAUUUUCUUGGUAACUUAUGAUGCUAACCACUUUUUCAUGUGCUUAUUAUGUAUUUCCCUUGUUAUUUAUUAGUUCCAUUUAUUAAUAUUAAUAUUAUAAAUGAUUCUGAAAAAUCACAAAUAAAUGUUGACUUCUGUAAAAUAUUUUCU